AUCUUCCAAUGAUCCCUGCCCCAGGCACCCUGGCCUCAGUAGUUCAGGUAUGGGAGAUGGAAAGAUUUUUGUCUCUUCUGUUAUGACCUCAUAGCCACCUUCAUUUUGUAAGCUGAAAAACUCCUUUUCAGAGAUAGCUAAAGAUCCAAGGCUGCAGCUCUGGCUCAAUAGAGAAGUCUAGAACCUCGAAAAGGUUCAAAGAUUAGCCUUCCCAUACUAUUAAGAAAAAAUAGGCUGGGCGAGGUGACUCACGCCUGUAAUCCCAACAUUUUGGGAGCUGAGGUGGGCAGAUCAUCUGAGGUCAGGAGUUUAAGACCAGCCUGGCUGACAUGAUGAAACCCCAUCUCUACUAAAAAUACUAAAAAAAAUUGUCAGGUGUGGUGGUGCAUGCCUGUAGUCCCAGCUACUCGGGAGGCUGAGGCAGGAGAAUUGCUUGAAACCAGGAGGUGGAGGUUGCAGUGAGCCGAGAUCGCGUCACUACACUCUAGCCUGGCGCCUGGUAACAGAGCAAGACUCUGUCUCAAAAAAAUAAAAAAAAAUAAAAACCUAAAAAAAUAAAGUUGAUUAAAAAAAAAAUAUAUAUAUAUAUGUAAAAAGUUAGAACAAUGCCAAAUAAGUGAUUGUUAUCGAAAAUAAAAGAGACAUAUCCCUCAUCACCCUCUUGAAUAAUUCACUGUUGUUUUUUUUUUGAGAAAUAAUGCCACUUCGUCACCAGGUUAGAGUGGAGUAGGGCGAUCUCAGCAACCUGCUCCUCCUGGGUUCAAGCAGUUCUCAUGCCUCAGCCUCCUGAGUAGCUGAGAUUACAGGCACAUACCACCAUGCCUGGCUCAAUUGUUUUAUUUUUAGCAAAGAUGAGGUUGUGCCAUGUUACCCAGGCUGGUCUCGAACUCCAGAUAGCUCAGCUCAAACUAUCUGCCUGCCUCAGCCUCCCAAAGUGCUGGGAUUACAGGAUAUACAACUCCAAAGAAAAGUUUCCCACCAUUUGGAGUGAAAAACCGAGGAAUGAGGGUGCUGGAUGUACAAUGUGAUGCCACAGGACUUUCAGACCUUUUCUUUGAGGUAUUGCCUCCCAUUUGAUUUUUUUCCGUGAGGCGGGCUGGACUGAGCAGCGCAAAGGUAAGUGGAGGUGUGCCCACGGAUGACGCCCAGUUUAGCCUAUUUAGGCUCUUCUUGUUCUGUCUUGACCUUUCCCUUUCUUUGACCCUUCCCCACUCUCGGCUGGGCCCGUUGUGUAAGGAGAAAAGAAUGAACAGACUCUGACUAUCAACUGAUCAGUCAUCUCCAGGCAACAGAGUGAUGGGAGAAAGAAGACAGGGAAAACAAAUGGACGAGACUGUGAAUUCCAUGUGCCCUGAGUCCUGAGCUGUCAGGCAAGGCCCAUUCUGAGUCCUUGUUGGGCUAUGAAGUUGCUGACAGUUAUACUUAAUCGAAUGGU
rnacentral:lncRNA from 13 species